ensembl:snRNA U6 U6 spliceosomal RNA
GUGCUCACUUUGGCAGCACAUAUACUAAAAUUAGAUUGAUACAGAGAAGAUUGAUACAAAGAUGACAUGCAAAUUCAUGAAGCAUUCCAUAUUAAA